AGAGUUUGAUCCUGGCUCAGAAUCAACGCUGGCGGCGUGCCUAACACAUGCAAGUCGAACGCGAAAGCCCCGCAAGGGGUAAGUAGAGUGGCAAACGGGUGAGUAACACGUGGGUGACCUGCCUUCGAGUGGGGGAUAACGUCCCGAAAGGGACGCUAAUACCGCAUGACAUCCUGCUCUUGGACGAGUGGAGAUCAAAGCUAGGGAUCGUAAGACCUGGCGCUUGAAGAGGGGCCCGCGCCUGAUUAGCUAGUUGGUGGGGUAAUGGCUCACCAAGGCAACGAUCAGUAGCCGGCCUGAGAGGGCGGACGGCCACACUGGGACUGAGACACGACCCAGACUCCUACGGGAGGCAGCAGUGGGGAAUUGUUCGCAAUGGGCGCAAGCCUGACGACGCAACGCCGCGUGGAGGACGAAGAUCUUCGGGUCGUAAACUCCUGUCGAGCGGGAAGAACGCUUCCCGGGUGAAUAAUCCGGGGAAUUGACGGUACCGCUAAAGGAAGCCCCGGCUAACUCCGUGCCAGCAGCCGCGGUA
rnacentral:rRNA from 1 species